rnacentral:snRNA from 1 species
GUCCCUUCGGGAACAUCCACUAAAAUUGGAACAUACAGAGAAGAUUAGCAUGCCACUGAACAAGCAUGACAUGCACAAAUCAAGAAAUGGUCCAAAGAAGA